rnacentral:rRNA from 1 species
UACGUAGGGUGCAAGCGUUAAUCGGAAUUACUGGGCGUAAAGCGUGCGCAGGCGGUUAUGCAAGACAGAUGUGAAAUCCCCGGGCUUAACCUGGGAACUGCGUUUGUGACUGCAAGGCUAGAGUACGGCAGAGGGGGGUGGAAUUCCACGUGUAGCAGUGAAAUGCGUAGAGAUGUGGAGGAACACCGAUGGCGAAGGCAGCCUCCUGGGCCAACACUGACGCUCAUGCACGAAAGCGUGGGGAGCAAACAGG